rnacentral:rRNA from 1 species
GGACCAAGGAGUCUAACAUGUGCGCGAGUCAUUGGAUCCCACUACAUCCAAAGGCGUAUUGAACGAAAAGGUCGGCGCUUGCGUCGGCCGAGGGAAGAUGGGGGCUCGCUCGCGGGUCCCCCGCAUUCCCGGGGCGUCUCGUCCUACCGCGGCUCGUCCGCGGAAGGUGAGGCGCACCAAGAGCGCACACGUUGGUACCCGAAAGAUGGUGAACUAUGCCUGGCCAGGACGAAGCCAGGGGAAACCCUGGUGGAGGUCCGUAGCGAUUCUGACGUGCAAAUCGAUCGUCAGAGCUGGGUAUAGGGGCGAAAGACUAAUCGAACCAUCUAGUAGCUGGUUCCCUCCGAAGUUUCCCUCAGGAUAGCUGGCGCUCGUAGAACCGAGUCCCAUCCGGUAAAGCGAAUGAUUAGAGGCUAUGGGGUCGAAACGAUCUCAACCUAUUCUCAAACUCUAAAUGGGUGGGAACCUACGCUUGCUUAAAUAGUGAAGCGUUGGCUUCGGAUCGGAGUGCCCAGUGGGCCACUUUUGGUAAGCAGAACUGGCGCUGUGGGAUGAACCAAACGCCGGGUUAAGGCGCCCGAAUGAACGCUCAUGUGAAACCAUGAAAGGUGUUGGUUGCUUAAGACAGCAGGACGGUGGCCAUGGAAGUCGGA